CUCAGAACUGUUUCUCUAACCCUCCCUGCCUCUUUGCAUUUCCCCCCCAUCUCUCUCACUCCCUUCAGGGCUAGUGACGCCAUCCCUUCUGUUGCCUUGGGAAUGUAUUUCACUUUAGCGGGCUUGCAGGGUGAUGGGUGUGAGAGAGUGUCGAUAAGAAGAGGAGGAGGAGAUGGUGAGAGCACGCCAGUUGGUAAACAGACGACAAGGGACUGGUCAGAGCUGUGUUGCCGUGGGUUGUCUUGACGCUGAUGACCAGGUUGAACUUCCUGUGGCCCUCGUGACCUCGGAUAAGAGCUGGGCGCCGGCCCUCAGCACAGAGAAAUUCCCCCGACUCUGCUGACCUUCGGCGCUGGUUAAAGCGGUUAAGGAAAAGGAAGCCCAACAUUUUCUGAGGAAAUAUUUGAGGAGUGUCCAUUACAGAACCUGUUAUGAAAGUCUUCUAUCAGCCAAAAGUUAGAGUCUGCACAAGUCUAAAAGGGCAGCUGGCCAGAGACACGAUGACUGUGGAUCAACCAGGGAGGUUGGCUCAGAGCUGGAGCAGGCAAAGCUCUGGACAAACAAAACCCCGUGUCACUACUUUUAUAUGAAUCCGGCAGCAGAGGCAAGGUGACGAUUUUGCAGUCGACAGCGGUAAUGAAGAAAGUGAUCGCUCAUUAGUUUCUUUGUUCCUGUCCCACUCUUUUAUCUCUGUGGUUUUCCUGCCCCGUCCCCUCUUCUCUCUCUCUUUCUCUGUCUCCCUCUGCAGCGGUGUAAUGUCUGCAGCUCUCGCCCCUCUGCUGCCUCCUGCGUCACUUCCCUUCCUGGUCGGCUGUCAUGUAAACACAAGCACACUCCUGCUCAGAGGCGUGCUCUCUCACAUACAAGCUCAAAAACACUCACACAAACACACACAUACACCCAGUCACAUGGGAGCUGCUAAUUAUGACCACAUAAACCCAGCGGAAAUACAACUUUCACAGCUGGCUGUUUGAGCUACGCACACAUUGAGGCACAUAAUUCAUAGACAACCCCCCCCCCUCCUCCCACACACACACACACGCACACACACACACACACCAUUUACUUCAAUUAUUCAGCAAACGCACACCAGAGAAAAAAAGUAAUGUGCUCAUUUCUCAGAUUAGCCUCCGAUGCUGGGGCUACAAAUAGCAAAGAUUUCUCUGUACGGGUGCUGGUGAGGCGAAAGGACCAUGAGAGCCACGGACAGCGAUUAAGUGAGAAGGAUGGAGGGAGGAAGGUUUAGCUGCAUGAAUUGAGCAUAACAAGGGAAAAAUUGGUUUCAGCGCCGGCCAUUUUAACGAGAGAGCGGAGGAAACGAUGAAAACAACACAUGCUCAUUUAUAUCCGAAUGAAGCAGAUCUAUUUGUUGAGACAAGGCAAGCAUAAACAUCUGACAGACGUCAUGCAUAGUCUGUGACGCAGAUGGGAAAGUCUGUCUUCAGUAAGCAUAUGCACGCACCCACAAAAACAGACACAGAUAAACAGGAACACACACAAACAGGCAGGCCAUGUUAUUACCACUAGACUCGUCUGACACACUCCAGCCAUUUCAAGCAUGUCACUAGUCUGAGGUUCAGGCUCAUUGGUGGAAUUGCAUAUAGGUUUGCCAAGGAAUGCUCUCAAGGGCGGAAAUAACAGCUUACAGCUCUGAAAGUUCGCUUCAAAAGGCUGAUGGAUUUGUUCUCGGCUAAUAAGACCAAACACGAGAUUAAUGCUGGUUAAUGGUUAAUGCUGCAGGAUUAUUGCAAAUUUCAUUAUCAUGCAAGUGCUGGAGGACAGCACAGGUCAUGUUCUACCCUGCUUGUACUUGUCAGGGCAACAGCUUGAUUUGUUUACCAGGGGAGGCAAGAUAAUUCCUCCGUCCAGAGAAAACACAUUUAGUUGAUAAAAACAAAAACAAGGGAGUGCGAAUACACAGGUGACGCAAACAUGUAAGUUUCUACAGCAGGAUAAAGAACUAACA